ensembl:lncRNA
UGUGGUGGUAUUGAACAUGUUGUGGAUAUGUGGUGGUAUUGAACAUGUGGUGGAUAUGUGGUGGUAUUGAACAUGUUGUGGAUAUGUGGGGGUAUUGAACAUGUGGUGGAUAUGUGGUGGUAUUGAACAUGUGGAUAUGUGGGGGUAUUGAACAUGUUGUGGAUAUGUGGGGGUAUUGAACAUGUUGUGUUGUGGAUGUGUGGGUAUUGAACAUGUUGUGGAUAUGUGGUGGUAUUGAACAUGUUGUGGAUAUGUGGAGGUAUUGAACAUGUUGUGGAUAUGUGGUGGUAUUGAACAUGUUGUGUUGUUGAUAUGUGGUGGUAUUGAACAUGUUGUGUUGUGGAUAUGUGGAGGUAUUGAACAUGUUGUGGAUAUGUGGUGGUAUUGAACAUGUUGUGGGUAUGUGGUGGUAUUGAACAUGUUGUGGAUAUGUGGAAGUAUUGAACAUGUUGUGGAUGUGUUGUGGUAUUAAACAUGUUGUGUUGUGGAUAUGUGGAGGUAUUGAACAUGUUGUGGAUAUGUGGUGGUAUUGAACAUGUUGUGGAUAUGUUGUGGUAUUAAACAUGUUGUGUUGUGGAUAUGUGGUGGUAUUGAACAUGUUGUGAUGUGGAAAUGUGGUGACAUUGAACAUGUAGUGGAUAUGUGGUGGUAUUGAACAUGUUGUGAUGUGGAAAUGUGGUGACAUUGAACAUGUAGUGGAUAUGUGGUGGUAUUGAACAUGUUGUGAUGUGGAUAUGUGGGGGUAUUAAACAUGUUGUGGAUAUGUGGAGGUAUUGAACAUGUUGUGGAUAUGUGGUGGUAUUGAACAUGUGUUGUGGAUAUGUGGAGGUAUUGAAUAUGUUGUGGAUAUGUGGUGGUAUUGAACAUGUUGUGGAUAUGUGGAGGUAUUGAACAUGUUGUGGAUAUGUGGUGGUAUUGAACAUGUUGAGGUAUUGAACAUGUUGUGGAUAUGUGGUGGUAUUGAACAUGUUGUGGAUAUGUGGUGGUAUUGAACAUGUUGUGUUGUGGAUAUGUGCUGGUAUUGAAGAUGUUGUGGUAUUAAACAUGUUGUGUUGUGGAUAUGUGGUGGCAUUGAACAUGUAGUGGAUAUGUGGUGGUAUUGAACAUGUUGUGGAUAUGUGGUGGUAUUGAACAUGUUGUGGAUAUGUGGUGGUAUUGAACAUGUUGUGGAUAUGUUGUGGUACUAAACAUGUGUUGUGGAUAUGUGGUGGUAUUGAUUAUGUUAUGGAUAUGUUGUGGAUAUGUUGUGGUAUUAAACAUGUUGUGCUGUGGAUAUGUGGUGGUAUUGAUUAUGUUGUGGAAAUGUGGUGGCAUUGAACAUGUAGUGGAUAUGUGGUGGUAUUGAACAUGUUGUGGAUAUGUGGUGGUAUUGAACAUGUUGUGUUGUGGAUAUGUGGAGGUAUUGAACAUGUUGUGGAUAUGUGGUGGUAUUGAACAUGUUGUGGAUAUGUGGUGGUAUUGAACAUGUUGUGUUGUGGAUAUGUGCUGGUAUUGAACAUGUUGUGGAUAUGUUGUGGUAUUAAACAUGUUGUGUUGUGGAUAUGUGGUGGCAUUGAACAUGUAGUGGAUAUGUGGUGGUAUUGAACAUGUUGUGGAUAUGUGGUGGUAUUGAACAUGUUGUGGAUAUGUGGUGGUAUUGAACAUGUU